UUUUUUGAAUCGAGCUAGUAGAAAUUCACAAGAUUUUGGAAUAGGAACUAUUGGGUUUUUAGGAUCCACGCUGUUAGUAUCAUACCGAAAUUCAUAUCCAAAGUGCUUCACCUGCCUGUGCUUCAACUCUGAAGGAUUCGUACCUGGGAUUUUGAAUAAAAUGUGAUCCAUAAUAUAGUUGAAAAAAUAUUUUUCAAGAUAAACACAUCAGAAGAGACAGUUCAUCAAUUGGAUUAGAAGCCACAGUUGCUUCAGAUACCGUACCUGCUUCAGACCAGUCGAGCAGUUCUAGCAAAAUUUUUUCUUCUUCAGCGGUUACAAAAUCUGUAAUGAUAUUCAACCCUGGAGGAAAAGGUUUAUCCCAUGAAUCAUCUUCCGCAGGUGGAACUGGAAGAAAAAGUUUCAAGUUUCCAUGAAGAGCUUCAAACACUACACGGGCAUCUUCUUUGGAUGGCAGUUCCAAAAAACAAUAAGAUUUUCUCAGGGGCGUAAUCAAAUUGUAGGAUGGCACCAAUUCAUUCAGGAUACUAUCGAUGGUCUCCCUUUGAAGUCCGGUCACUAACCCGGCAUUGCAAAUCAUUAGAUACUGUAAAAAUUGAGAUUUAUUAUAGAUUUCCACGUUGAAAAUGAGAUCAUACCUAUCGAUCGUACAGGAUUUAGCAAUCACAUUUGAAAUAAUGAUGUGUUGUGAUAAAUUCUUGAGUUACGAACCUCUGUUGGACAAUCACUGUGUUCGAUGUUCAUAUCUCUAGCAAGUCGGUGCUGCGCCCGACGUUGCUUGCGAAGCAUUUUUGUGACAGGAUUCAUAGCUCUUCUUGGGUUAUUGUUUCACGUCAUGUAGUAGGAAAUUACCUUUCAAAUGGCUAGGUAUACAAUUGCAUAUUUGGGGUUACGUAGAUUAUAGUAGCAACAGGACAUACAUAUGUAUAGUAUCACCGACAAAGAAAAAAAUAGUAAGAUGAUGGAUUCUCUCUUUCUAUAUCAGGGUCGUUGCAGAAUAUUCCCGGAUUCUGUUUUAAAAGUGUAAAUAGAAAUAAUUUAGUUCCAUGAAUGUUAUCCUUAGACAUUGCAAAAAUUAUAUUUCACUCGUGAAAUUAAUUGACUUAUCGAAUUAAUGGAGUUAUCGCUGUACUUUAGCGCUUGAAAAAGCAGAGUAAUUUUAAUAUCUUUGUAAAUCUCGGGCGCUGUGCAAUUGUGGACUAAUUGUAAGAUUCUUGUUUCCAAGAUCGAAAUACAUAUGUGUAAUUAUU